rnacentral:rRNA from 1 species
AUUGAACGCUGGCGGCAUGCCUUACACAUGCAAGUCGAACGGUAACAGGUCUUCGGAUGCUGACGAGUGGCGGACGGGUGAGUAAUACAUCGGAACGUGCCUAGUAGUGGGGGAUAACUACUCGAAAGAGUGGCUAAUACCGCAUGAGAUCUACGGAUGAAAGCAGGGGAUCGCAAGACCUUGUGCUACUAGAGCGGCCGAUGGCAGAUUAGGUAGUUGGUGGGAUAAAAGCUUACCAAGCCGACGAUCUGUAGCUGGUCUGAGAGGACGAUCAGCCACACUGGGACUGAGACACAGCCCAGACUCCUACGGGAGGCAGCAGUGGGGAAUUUUGGACAAUGGGCGAAAGCCUGAUCCAGCAAUGCCGCGUGCAGGAUGAAGGCCUUCGGGUUGUAAACUGCUUUUGUACGGAACGAAAAGCCCUGGGUUAAUACCCUGGGGUCAUGACGGUACCGUAAGAAUAAGCACCGGCUAACUACGUGCCAGCAGCCGCCGUAA